CCUACGGGUGGCAGCAGUGAGGAAUAUUGGUCAAUGGGCGCGAGCCUGAACCAGCCAAGUCGCGUGAGGGAAGACGGUCCUAUGGAUUGUAAACCUCUUUUGUCGGGGAGCAAAAGACGCCACGCGUGGCGUUCCGAGAGUACCCGCAGAAAAAGCAUCGGCUAACACCGUGCCAGCAGCCGCGGUAAUACGGGGGAUGCGAGCGUUACCCGGAUUUAUUGGGUUUAAAGGGUGCGCAGGCGGAAGGUCAAGUCAGCGGUAAAAUUGAGAGGCUAAACCUCUUAGAGCCGUUGAAACUGGUUUUCUUGAGUGAGCGAGAAGUAUGCGGAAUGCGUGGUGUAGCGGUGAAAUGCGUAGAUAUUAGGAGGAACACCAGUGGCGAAGGCGGCUGACUGGACUGUAACUGACGUUGAGGCUCGAAAGCGUGGGGAGCAAACAGGAUUAGAUACCCGGGUAGUC
rnacentral:rRNA from 1 species